rnacentral:rRNA from 1 species
GACGAACGCUGGCGGCGUGCCUAAUACAUGCAAGUAGGACGCACAGUCUAUACCGUAGCUUGCUACACCAUAGACUGUGAGUUGCGAACGGGUGAGUAACGCGUAGGUAACCUGCCUAUUAGAGGGGGAUAACUAUUGGAAACGAUAGCUAAUACCGCAUAACAGUAUGUAACACAUGUUAGAUGCUUGAAAGAUGCAAUUGCAUCGCUAGUAGAUGGACCUGCGUUGUAUUAGCUAGUAGGUAGGGUAAUGGCCUACCUAGGCGACGAUACAUAGCCGACCUGAGAGGGUGAUCGGCCACACUGGGACUGAGACACGGCCCAGACUCCUACGGGAGGCAGCAGUAGGGAAUCUUCGGCAAUGGGGGGAACCCUGACCGAGCAACGCCGCGUGAGUGAAGAAGGUUUUCGGAUCGUAAAGCCCUGUUGUUAAGGAAGAACGAGUGUGAGAAUGGAAAGUUCAUACUGUGACGGUACUUAACCAGAAAGGGACGGCUGACUACGUGCCAGCAGCCGCGGUAAUACGUAGGUCCCGAGCGUUGUCCGGAUUUAUUGGGCGUAAAGCGAGCGCAGGCGGUUAGAAAAGUCUGAAGUGAAAGGCAGUGGCUCAACCAUUGUAGGCUUUGGAAACUGUUUAACUUGAGUGCAGAAGGGGAGAGUGGAAUUCCAUGUGUAGCGGUGAAAUGCGUAGAUAUAUGGAGGAACACCGGUGGCGAAAGCGGCUCUCUGGUCUGUAACUGACGCUGAGGCUCGAAAGCGUGGGGAGCGAACAGG